rnacentral:rRNA from 1 species
UACGAAGGGGGCUAGCGUUGCUCGGAAUUACUGGGCGUAAAGCGCCCGUAGGCGGAUCCUUAAGUCGGCGGUGAAAUCCUGAAGCUCAACUUCAGAACUGCCUUCGAUACUGGGGACCUUGAGUUCGGGAGAGGUGAGUGGAACUGCGAGUGUAGAGGUGAAAUUCGUAGAUAUUCGCAAGAACACCAGUGGCGAAGGCGGCUCACUGGCCCGAUACUGACGCUGAGGUGCGAAAGCGUGGGGAGCAAACAGG